CUGUAUGCAAGCCCUUGAUUUCAAGUGCUAUCUGAUAUCAUUUGGAGCCCACUUGCCGGAAGGGACUGGUAUUUUCCCACUUCCGAUUGUUGAUACGGAAAUAGUUAGAUAUAAUUUGAAGGUAUACAACCAUUUCAAAUAACGCUACACUCGGAAAGCCGUGUGUUGUAGAAACCCACAGUGCCUCAGAGGUAUCAAAGAAGGAAAUACGUGUAAUUAAAAGCUAUCAUUUUUUUU